UUAGUGAGGAUGAUUAUGAUAUAUUAUAUUUUCAAAUUGACGACAAAUGCAUUGACAAUAAGAUGCAUAUGAUUGAUGUGCAUUGGAAAAUGUAAAAAUAUUUAUUGCAAAUAAAUAUUAAAUACGAUUUUGAAAUUAAUAAAUAAAAUAUCUGAUCCGUAAUACAAUAAGAUGAUCGAUCUGGAAGAACGUAAAUCAUUGAAUGAUUUUAUUAUGUAUUAUGACAGUCUUCGUGAACGCACGUUCUCGAUAUAUUCUCCGAUUGGGUUAAGGCACAUGCUAUCUAUUUCUCUUUUCCUCUUUCUCUUUCUUUAUCUAUCUCAAUAUAUCAAUAUAUCUAUAUAUCUAUCUAUCUAUGUAUCUAUCUAUCUAUCUCUCGUUCUCCUUUGGCCCACGUAUCGGUUAUGUUCGCUGACUCGACGCAUAUAUGGCAUCUUGUCUUGCCAGUGUAUGACCUAGCUAACGACCCACGUAUUCGAUGUACCCAAAACCAAAGGACAAAGAUAUCCACCAUCCGAAUAUAAUUCUUACUGAAUACACAAACAAACGAUCAAAAAUAAAACUACGAAAUGACAUGACAA